rnacentral:rRNA from 1 species
GACGUAGGGCGCGAGCGUUGUCCGGAUUUAUUGGGCGUAAAGAGCUCGUAGGCGGCUUGUCGCGUCGUCUGUGAAAUCCCGCGGCUCAACCGCGGGUCUGCAGUCGAUACGGGCAGGCUAGAGUUCGGGUAGGGGAGACGUGGAAAUUCCUGGUGUAGCGGUGAAAUGCGCAGAUAUCAGGAGGAACACCGGUGGCGAAGGCGG